rnacentral:misc_RNA from 1 species
GAUGAAGAACGUAGCGAAAUGCGAUACUUGGUGUGAAUUGCAGAAUCCCGUGAACCAUCGAGUCUUUGAACGCAAGUUGCGCCUCAAGCCAUUAGGUUGAGGGCACGUCUGCCUGGGCGUCACAUAUCGUUGCCUGAUGCCAGUUUCCUCGUGAUGGGUGACUGUGCAGGGCGAAUGAUGGCUUCCCGUGAGCAUUGUUGCCUCCUGGUUGGUUGAAAAUUGAGUCCUUGGUAGGGAGCGCCGUGAUAGAUGGUGGUUGAGUGACGAACGAGACCCAAUCAUGUGAGACCCCUACCGAAUUUGGCCUUCAUGACCCACAUGCGUCUUUGGAACGCUCAUGACGAGACCUCAGGUCAGGCGGGGCUACCCGCUGAGUUUAAGCAUAUCAAUAAGCGGAGGA